GCCACGCGGUGCAUCACGGUGCUUGUAGUCCAACUUUCCUGGACGGCGCGUGCCGCGGCGGAGUGAGGGGACUGCAUUUCCCAGCGACCGCGGCGCCAGGAGCGGAACCGGGAAGCGCGAAGAUGGCGGUGGAUAAGGAGCUGCUGGAGCGGGACCUCUACGGGCUGUUGGGGAUCGGCGAGAAGGCGUCCGAGAAGGAGGUGAAGACAGCGUUCCGGCAGAAGGCGCUCACCUGCCACCCGGACAAGAACCCCGACAACCCCCGGGCAGCGGAAAUUUUCCACCAGCUGUCCCAGGCCUUGGCCGUGCUCACAGAUGCAGCAGCCAGGGCAGCCUAUGACAGGGUGAGGAGGGCGAAGAAGGAGGCUGCAGCAAGGACACAGAAACUCGAUGAGAAGAGGAAGAAAGUAAAGCUUGAUCUUGAGGCCAGAGAACGGGAAGCCCAGUCCCAGGAGAAUGAAGAGGAGGAGAUCAGGAUAACCAGAUCAUUAGAAGAAGAAAUAAUCCGCCUGCGGGAGGAGGGCUCCCGGCAGCUGGAGGAGCAGCAGAGGCUGGUCAGGGAGCAGAUCCGCCGGGAGAGGGAGCAGCAGAGCCGAGGCAAGCAGGAAAGAAAUGGAGCAGAAUGCAAAAUAACUCCUAAGCUCAAGCUCAGGUGGAAAUGCAGGAAGGAAGAUGAGACUGGAGGGGGAUACUCCAAAGAUGUGCUGCUGCAGAUCCUGCAAAAGUAUGGUGAUGUGCUCAAUUUGUUGAUCUCCAGCAGGAAGAGUGGCAGUGCAGUGGUGGAAUUUGCCACGGUGAAGGCAGCUGAGAUGGCUGUGAAGAAUGAGGUUGGCCUGCUAAAUAACCCCCUGAAGAUUUCCUGGCUGGAGGGCCAGCCCCAGAGCCGCCCCAGCACCGUCCUCCCCGACAGCAGCAGCCAGCCCAGGAGCUCACAGGCGUCGGUGGUGUCGGAGCGGGACUACGAGAGCCUGGUGAUGAUGAGGAUGCGCCAGGCGGCCGAGAGGCAGCAGCUCAUCGAGCAGCUCCAGCGGGAAGACGAGGAGGAAAAGUCCCAUACUUAGCAUGAGAGGACAGCAGCGAUCCCACCAGUGCUCCUGGACACUGAUCCCAGCCACUGCCCCAGCCAUGCCCACUGCCUUGGUCGCGUUUUCCACCCUGGAACGGCUCUUUGGGGACGAGGGAAAACCAACUGAGAGGACAAGAGGAGCCGUCCCUUUGGCGUUCCUGGGAUCCUGCCGCAAGUUUCCCAAGCGAGGCCCUGCCCGUUCCCGUGCCCGUUCCCGUGCGUGGAGCGCUGCUCCCGGUGGGAGAUGCAGCCGAUGGAGCCGUGCCCAGCC